rnacentral:rRNA from 1 species
GAUGAACGCUGACAGAAUGCUUAACACAUCAGCAAUUGAUUGGUGGCGGACGGGUGAGUAACGCGUAAAGAACUUGCCUCACUGGUAGGGACAACAUUUGGAAACAAAUGCUAAUACCUAAUAUUGUGGGAGAGCGUUGCGUCCCAUGAGGUAGUUGGAGAGGUAACGGCUCACCAAGGCGAGGAUGGGUAGCCGGCCUGAGAGGGUGAUCGGCCACAAGGGGACAGGGACACGGCCCUUACUCAUGCGGGAGGCAGGAGUGGGGAAGAUUGGACAAUGGACCAAAGUCUGAUCAAGCAAUUCUGUGUGCACGAUGAAGUUUUCGGAAAGUAAAGUGCUUUCAGUAGGGAAGCGGUACCGAAAUAGAAAGCCACGGCUAACUACGUGCCAGCAGCCGCGGUAAUUC